UAGCAUAAUCAUUAGCUUUUUAAUUGAAAGAUGGAAUGAACGGUGACAUAAAUUCUUAUAUUUUCCUCUUUAUUUGAAUUUUGACUUCUGAUGAAAAUUUCGGAAUUCUUUCUUUAGACAAAAAGACCCUAUGAAGCUCAGUGACGAAUAGAAUCUAUUUUGUGAAGGUCACUUUUUUGGGGUAAAAAGUAAUAUUAUUAUUUUUAAAAUCAGUCUACUUUAAUCCACAUGUGAACCAGGAAGAAGCUCCUCUAGGGAUAACAGCAUAAUCCGGGCCGAGAGACCUUAUUAAAGCCCGGGCUUGUGACCUCGA
rnacentral:rRNA from 1 species